AAAGGAUUAGUUAAUUACAUAACAUCAGAAUGUCAAACUGAAAUAAUCAAAGAGAUAUCCUUUU
rnacentral:tRNA from 1 species